rnacentral:rRNA from 1 species
AAUAUUGCGCAAUGGAGGGAACUCUGACGCAGCGACGCCGCGUGAGCGAUGAAGGUCNNNGGAUCNUAAAGCUCUGUCCUUGGNGAANAAGGUCUUCGGACUUGACGGUACCUAAGGAGGAAGCCCCGGCUAACUACGUGCCCGCAGCCGCGGUAAGACGUAGGGGGCAAGCGUUGUCCGGAAUUAUUGGGCGUAAAGGGUGCGUAGGCGGCCUUUUAAGUCAGAUGUGAAAGGCUACGGCUUAACCGUAGUUAGCAUUUGAAACUAAAAGGCUUGAGUGCAGGGGAGGAGAGUGGAAUUCCUAGUGUAGCGGUGAAAUGCGUAGAUAUUAGGGGGAACACCAGUGGCGAAGACGACUCUCUGGACUGCAACUGACGCUGAGGCACGAAAGCGUGGGGAGCGAAC